UACGUAGGUGGCAAGCGUUGUCCGGAUUUAUUGGGUUUAAAGGGUGCGUAGGCGGUCUAUUAAGUCAGUGCUGAAAUAUCCCGGCUUAACUCGGAAACUGCCAUUGAUACUAUAAGUCUUGAAUACCAUGGAGGUGAGCGGAAUAUGUCAUGUAGCGGUGAAAUGCUUAGAUAUGACAUAGAACACCAAUUGCGAAGGCAGCUCGCUACGCGGUUAUUGACACUGAGGCACGAAAGCGUGGGGAGCAAACAGG
rnacentral:rRNA from 1 species